rnacentral:tRNA from 1 species
GCUUUGGCGCAGUCGGCAGCGCGUCAGUCUCAUAAUCUGAAGGUCGUGAGUUCGAGCCUCACACAAGGCA